rnacentral:sRNA from 1 species
GUAUGCUAGAAUUUUGAGGCUCCCUUCUGAUGAAAAUUGAGCUGUCCAUGCAGCCAUGGAACCUGGGUUACAGCAGUGAGGGGGCCACGGCUCAAGAAACUUACACAUGUCCAAAAAUGAUUGAGAUAGAGCAGGCGGAGGCCCAGCUUGCUGAGUUAGACCUGCUAGCCAGUAUGUUCCCUGGUGAGAAUGAGCUCAUAGUGAAUGACCAGCUGGCUGUAGCAGAACUGAAAGAUUGUAUUGAAAAGAAGACAAUGGAGGGGCGAUCUUCAAAAGUCUACUUUACUAUCAAUAUGAACCUGGAUGUAUCUGAUGAAAAAAUGGUAAUUCAGUUUUGCUUUUAGAGGGAUUGAAACAUGUUGAGACUUAAAACAUUGGUUAGUGCACUUUUUCUUCUUCUCUUUAAUCAGGCGAUGUUUUCUUUGGCCUGUAUUCUUCCCUUUAAAUACCCGGCAGUUCUGCCUGAAAUUACUGUCAGGUACGUUACAGAAGCUCUGGCCAACUUUGGAGGUCAAAAUUAAUCUGAGAAUAAAAGCAAUUCUCAAAUUUGUUUUCUGUUCCAAGACAGUAUUUUUCUUGUAUCUUUUCUAUUAGAUCAGUAUUAUUGAGUAGAUCCCAGCAGACUCAGCUGAACACAGAUCUGACUGCAUUCCUGCAAAAACAUUGUCAUGGAGAUGUUUGUAUACUGAAUGCCACAGAGUGGGUUAGAGAACACGCCUCUGGCUAUGUCAGCAGAGAUACUUCAUCUUCACCCACCACAGGAAGGACAGUCCAGUCAGUUGACCUCAUCUUCACGAGACUCUGGAUCUACAGCCAUCAUAUCUAUAACAAAUGCAAAAGAA